rnacentral:RNase_P_RNA from 1 species
CCAGUCGGCCGGGCGGCCGCGCGCGCAAUCGCCGAAAGGCGGCGUGCGAGGAAAGUCCGGGCUCCAUGGAAACACGGUGCCGGCUAAUGGCCGGCGGGGGCGACCCCAGGGAAAGCGCCACAGAAAGCAAACCGCCCCGCCUGCAAACCGGUCGCCGCGCUCGAGCCGAGCGGACCGGUUUGCUGGCGGGGCAAGGGUGAAAGGGUGGGGUAAGAGCCCACCGCGCUGCUGGCAACAGCAGUGGCACGGCAAGCCCCACCGGGAGCAAAACCGAAUAGGGACGGUGCGGGAGGCAACUCCCGGGCAGUUUCCGGCCCAGCCGUCCGGGUUGGUUGCAAGAGGCGGGCGGCAACGUCCGUCCCAGAUGAAUGGCCGCCACGUUCCGGCGCCCUCGGGUGUCGGGGCCAUACAGAACCCGGCUUACAGGCCGGCUGGCAUU